UACGAAGGGGGCUAGCGUUGUUCGGAAUUACUGGGCGUAAAGCGCGCGCAGGCGGUUCUUCAAGUCAGAGGUGAAAGCCCAGAGCUCAACUCUGGAAUGGCCUUUGAGACUAGAGGACUUGGGUACGGGAGAGGUGAGUGGAAUUCCGAGUGUAGAGGUGAAAUGCGUAGAUAUCGGGAGGAACACCUGUGGCGAAAGCGGCUCACUGGACCGCAACUGACGCUGAGGCGCGAAAGCUAGGGGAGCAAACAGG
rnacentral:rRNA from 1 species